AUGGGGCCGCAUCCUCACAGCGCAUUCUGUGUUCCAGCAUCCCCGACCAGACCCAAGGUCUUCCCGCUGAGCCUCGAGGGCACCCAGUCAGAUAACGUGGUCGUCGCCUGCCUGGUCCAGGGCUUCUUCCCCCAGGAGCCACUCAACGUGACCUGGAACAAAAGCGGAGCGGGUGUGACCGUCAUAAACUUCCCGCCCAGCCAGGACGCCUCCAGCGGCCUGUACACCACGAGCAGCCAGCUGACCCUGCCGGCCGCACAGUGCCUAGACAGCGAGUCUGUGACAUGCCACGUGGAGCACUACACGAAUCCCAGCCACGAUGUGGCUGUGCGCUGCAGAGUUCUCUCACCCCCAUGUCCCUUAUGUUGCAAGCCCCGACUGUCGCUGCGCCGGCCAGCCCUCGAGGACCUGCUCCUAGGUUCCGAGGCGAACCUCACGUGCACACUGACCGGCCUGAGAGAUCCCUCGGGUGCCACCUUCACCUGGACGCCCUCAAGUGGGAAGAACGCUGUCCAACAGUCACCUGAGCCUGACCCCUGUGGCUGCUACAGUGUGUCCAGUGUCCUGCCUGGCUGUGCUGAGCCAUGGAACAAUAGGGUGACCUUCACCUGCACUGCUAAUCACCCUGAGUUGAAGACCCCACUAACCGCCACCAUCUCAAAAUCCGGAAACACGUUCCGGCCCGAGGUCCACCUGCUGCCGCCGCCGUCGGAGGAGCUGGCCCUGAACGAGCUGGUGACGCUGACGUGCCUGGCACGCGGCUUCAGCCCCGAGGACGUGCUGGUUCGCUGGCUGAAGGGAACAGAGCAGCUGCCCCGUGACAAGUAUCUGACUUGGGAAUCCCGGCAGGAGCCCAGCCAGGGCACCACCACCUUCGCCGUGACCAGCAUACUGCGCGUGGCAGCCGAGGACUGGAAGAAGGGGGACACCUUCUCCUGCAUGGUGGGCCACGAGGCCCUGCCGCUGGCCUUCACACAGAAGACCAUCGACCGCCUGGCGGAUUGGCAGAUGCUGCCUCCCUAUGUGGUGCUGGACUUGCCGCAGGAGACCCUGGAGGAGGAGACCCCUGGUGCCAACCUGUGGCCCACCACCAUCACCUUCCUCACCCUCUUCCUGCUGAGCCUGUUCUAUAGCACAGCACUGACCGUGACCAGCGUCCGGGGUCCAUCUGGCAACAGGGAGGGCCCCCAGUACUGAGCAGGAGCCAGCAAGGCACAGGGAAGAAGUGUGGAGGAACCUCUUGGAGAAGCCAGCUAUGCUUGCCAGAACUCAGCCCUUUCAGAAAUCACCUACCCGCCCUUACUCACAUCCCUUCCAGGUGCAAUAAAGUGGUCCCAAGGAAAA